UACGUAGGGACCAAGCGUUGUUCGGAUUUACUGGGCGUAAAGGGCGCGUAGGCGGCGAUGUAAGUCACUUGUGAAAUCUCUGAGCUUAACUCAGAACGGCCAAGUGAUACUGCAUUGCUAGAGUGCAGAAAGGGCAAUCGGAAUUCUUGGUGUAGCGGUGAAAUGCGCAGAUAUCUGGAGGAACACCGGUGGCGAAGGCGGCAUCCUGGACCAACACUGACGCUGAGGAGCGAAAGCUAGGGGAGCAAACGGG
rnacentral:rRNA from 1 species